UUCUUUUUUUGGUUCAUACUCAUGAUGAUUGGAUGUGCAUGCCAUUGUGUGACUGGUGCCUCCCACAAACCUUUUUACCACAUAGACACAUUACCCAUCUUGUGAAA